AGAACGAACGUUGGCGGCGUGGAUUAGGCAUGCAAGUCGGGGGAAUCCCAGCAAUGGGGGAACCGGCGUAAGGGGCAGUAAUGCAUGGGUACCUACCCUGGGGUUCGGGAUAGCCAUCAGAGAUGGUGGGUAAUACCGGAUGAUGUCGUGAGACCAAAGAUUUAUCGCCCUGGGAGGGGCCCAUGUGAUAUUAGCUAGUUGGUGAGGUAAUGGCUCACCAAGGCUAAGAUGUCUAGCGGGUGUGAGAGCACGACCCGCGCCACUCGCACUGAGACACUGGCGAGACACCUACGGGUGGCUGCAGUCGAGGAUCUUCGGCAAUGGGCGCAAGCCUGACCGAGCGACGCCGCGUGAGCGA
rnacentral:rRNA from 1 species